UUUCUGCUGGAUGUAAUUAUAAUUUUCAUGACUAGGAUUGAGUGGUUCCCACAAAUAAUAAUAUUAAUCUAAAGGUUAAAAAUGAUUAAAGGGACUGAUCUAAGGAUCAAAAAGUCAGAAAUAUCAUAUACUCUAUUUUUUCAAUAGUAUGAUAACUUUAUAUAUAUAUAUAUAGAUAUAGAGUUUUUCUAGAAUACUAUCGGUAGUAAACGGCUCGGUUUACUACCAAUUUAUUUUCUAUGAUAGAGCUUCCAAAUUGAUGAUCGGCACCGUUAAACAUGAUUUAAACUAUUUAAACUAUCUGGAAAUCAAAUUUCACAUAUUUUCGAUAUUGUUCUCUUGUCCAUCAAGUGGACAGAAAAAUGAAUGGCUGGAAAUGAAUAUUCUUUAAAAAGUGAUGAUACAAUUUUUAUAUUUGAAAUCUAGAGUCUAGAUCUUAUUUUAAAUAGUUUAAAGAAUUUUCUAACAAAAAUUUAGUUGAUUUGAACUCUUCUAUACCGUUAAACAAGCAAACGCACCAUAUCGGCCAUUAAAAUUAUAGAUUUUGUGUCCCUUUGAUCGUUCAGUUAGUGAUGCCAAAAAAUCAUAAAAUUUGAUUUCUAGAUAAUUUAAAUGGUCUAGAUCAUGUUGAACGGUGUCGAUCAUCGAUUUGGAAGCUCUAUCAUCAAAAACAAAUCGGUAGUAACCUGAGCAGUUUACUAGUAAACUGAGCAGUUUACUACCGAUAGUAGCCCAGUCAAACUCUCUCUCUAUCUCUCUCUAUAUAUAUAUAUAGGCUUGGGCUACUAUCCUAUUAAAGGAUAGUAGCACUUGUUCUAUCAAAUUGUUCUUGAUGAUAAAGAUUCUGAAUCGAUGAUCGGAGCCGUUGAAGUUGAUCUAGAGUAUUUGAAAUAUCUAGAAACUAAAUUUCAUAAAUUUUAAAAAUUAUUUACAUGGUGAUCAAAGUGUCGUAAAAUCGAUAAUUUUUGACGGCCUAUAUGAGCCGUUUGUUUGUUUAACGGUGUAGAUUAAUCCAAAUUAUUUGAAUUUUUGAUAAAUUUUUUUUUAUACUAUUUAUAUAAUGUUUGAUAAUUUUGAUUAUGAAUUGAGAAAGUCUGACCUCUUUUUUAAGAAGGUUAUUCAUUUAUGACCGUUCAUUUUUCAACUCCUAAGAUGAACUUGAUGAUAAUUUUUAAAUAUUACAAAAUUUGGUUUCUAAAUAUUUCUAAUUGUGUAGAUUAAUUUCAACGAUACCGAUUAUCAAUUUGAAGUUUUGAUCAUUCAAAUCAACUUGAUAGGACAAUGUCCUUAAUCCUAUUAAUAGGAUAGUAGAUGAACUCUCUAUCUCUCUCUCUCUCUCUAGAGUUUUUCUAGAAUACUAUCGGUAGUAAACGGCUCGGUUUACUACCGAUUUAUUUUCGAUGACAGAGCUUCGAAAUUGAUGAACGGCACCGUUAAACAUGAUCUAAACUAUUUAAAUUAUCUGGAAAUCAAAUUUCACACUUUCGAUAUUGUUCUCUUUCCAUCAAGUGAACAGAAAAAUGAAUGACUGGAAAUGAAUAUCCUUCAAAAAGUGAUUGAUACAAUUUUUAUAUUUGAGAUCUAGAGUCUAGAUCUUAUUUUAAAUAGUUUAAAGAAUUUUCUAAUAAAAAUUUAGUUGAUUUGAACUCUUAUAUACCGUUGAACAAGCAAACGCACCAUAUCGGCCAUUAAAAUUAUAGAUUUUGUGACACUUUGAUCGUUCAGUUAGUGAUGCCAAAAAAUCAUGAAAUUUGAUUUCUAGAUAAUUUAAAUGGUCUAGAUCAUGUUGAACGGUGUCGAUCGUCGAUUUGGAAGCUCUAUCAUCAAAAACAAAUCGGUUGUGAACCGAGCAAUUUACUAGUAAACUGAGCAGUUUACUACCGAUAGUAGCCCAGUCAAACUCUCUCUCUAUCUCUCUCUAUAUAUAUAUAUAGGCUUGGGCUACUAUCCUAUUAAAGGAUAGUAGCACUUGUUCUAUCAAAUUGUUCUUGAUGAUAAAGAUUCUGAAUCGAUGAUCGGAGCCGUUGAAGUUGAUCUAGAGUAUUUGAAAUAUCUAGAAACUAAAUUUCAUAAAUUUUAAAAAUUAUUUACAUGGUGAUCAAAGUGUCGUAAAAUCGAUAAUUUUUGACGGCCUAUAUGAGCCGUUUGUUUGUUUAACGGUGUAGAUUAAUCCAAAUUAUUUGAAUUUUUGAUAAAUUUUUUUUUAUACUAUUUAUAUAAUGUUUGAUAAUUUUGAUUAUGAAUUGAGAAAGUCUGACCUCUUUUUUAAGAAGGUUAUUCAUUUAUGACCGUUCAUUUUUCAACUCCUAAGAUGAACUUGAUGAUAAUUUUUAAAUAUUACAAAAUUUGGUUUCUAAAUAUUUCUAAUUGUGUAGAUUAAUUUCAACGAUACCGAUUAUCAAUUUGAAGUUUUGAUCAUUCAAAUCAACUUGAUAGGACAAUGUCCUUAAUCCUAUUAAUAGGAUAGUAGAUGAACUCUCUAUCUCUCUCUCUCUCUCUCUCUCUCUCUCUCUAUAUAUA
rnacentral:lncRNA from 1 species